rnacentral:RNase_P_RNA from 1 species
GGUGGUCGGAUAGCUGCGUUAAAGUAAUUUAAUGAGGAAAGUCCGAGCGUUUUGGAAACAGGAUACCAGAUAACGUCUGGCUGGAGAAAUCCAAGGGAAAGUGCCACAGAAAAUUACCGCCAAAUUCAUUUGGUAAGGUUGAAAAGGCGAGGUAAGAGCUCACCGCAAAAGUAGUAAUACUUAUUGGCAAGGUAAACCCUAUCUGACGCAAGACCAAGUUAGGAGAACAGCUAUUGCUGUAUUAUGGAGCGUUUCCACUCUACUCCAGAGGUAGGUCGCAUGAGCAAACUGGCAACAGCUUGCCUAGAUGAAUAGCUAUCACUUUGAAUCUUCACGUUUGUGAAGCAAAAGAAAAGAACAGAACUCGGCUUAUAGACCACCC